rnacentral:rRNA from 1 species
CCCUUAGAUGUUCUGGGCCGCACGCGCGCUACACUGAUGCAUUCAACGAGUUUCUUCCUGGUCCGAGAGGAAUGGGUAACCUUUUGAAAGUGCAUCGUGAUAGGGAUAGACUAUUGCAAUUAUUGGUCUUCAACGAGGAAUUCCUAGUAGACGUAGUUCAUCAGACUGCAUCGAUUACGUCCCUGCCCUUGUACACACCGCCCGUCGCUCCUACCGAUUGAAUGCUCAGGUGAGCCAUUCGGACCUUCAUCAUGCCGGUUUCCGGUUUUGAUGAGGGAAAGUCUUGCGAACCUUAUCAUUUAGAGGAAGGAGAAGUCGUAACA